AUUGAACGCUGGCGGCGUGCCUAAUACAUGCAAGUCGAGCGAAUGGAUUAAGAGCUUGCUCUUAUGAAGUUAGCGGCGGACGGGUGAGUAACACGUGGGUAACCUGCCCAUAAGACUGGGAUAACUCCGGAAAACCGAGGCUAAUACCGGAUAACAUUUUGAACCGCAUGGUUCGAAAUUGAAAGGCGGCUUCGGCUGUCACUUAUGGAUGGACCCGCGUCGCAUUGGCUAGUUGGUGAGGUAACGGCUCACCAAGGCAACGAUGCGUAGCCGACCAGAGAGGGUUAUCGGCCAAACUGGGACGGAGGCACGGCCCAGACUACUACGGGAGGCAGGAGGAGGGAAUCUCCCGCAAUGGACGAAUGUCUGACGGAGCAACGCCGCGUGAGGGAUGAAGGCUUUCGGGUCGUAAAACUCUGUUGUUAGGGAAGAACAAGUGCUAGUUGAAUAAGCUGGCACCUUGACGGUACCUAACCAGAAAGCCACGGCUAACUACGUGCCAGCCGCCGCGGUAA
rnacentral:rRNA from 1 species